GAUUGCUCUACACGCACCAAAUUUCUCAAGAAGAUAUUGGACCAUAUGAGUUUUCUUGUCUUAAUUCCAUUAUACUCCGUUACAGAGGAAUUAGUUUCUCUAAAUACUGUUGCAGAGUGAGUUGUGCAACCAAGGGACAACAAUGCUUACAACAAAUCAACAAAUCUAGUCCUUCAAAUAUCAUAUUCGAAACACCGCGUGAAGCUCGACAUGAUGAGGAAUACUGGGAAGUUAGAUGGCCGCUUGGUUGAGAGCAGACAGCCAAUGGGAGGGCCAAGAAAAUGAACGGUUGUUGAAAACUCUCCGCGGAACAGACAUUCUUGUUAUGCCUUCACCUCUGAUGUUUCAAAUGGACGAUGAUGAAUUAGAGUAUUCGAAAACUCUAUUUCAUUCUUUUAAGUUUUAACUAUAACACCGCCAAACCAAAUACUCAAAUGAAUUUUCUAAAAUAUUUCUAACAAUGAUUACUAUUCUAAGCUGUAAUAUAG